AUAUUGAAUUACAAGGACUCCCUUACAAUUUUUUUUCAAAAUCAUGUUUUCUCCAUUUAAACGGUUUGAGGUUUGGUUAAAGAUUGAUGUAUCAAAUAAUGUAUUAGUGUAUACAAAACAUAGCAAAACCCCAAAACGAAACCCUAAAACACUUUAAUUAUUAAUUUGCAAGAAAAUUGUAAUGGCUUCCUUACAAUUCUCUUGCAAUUUGCGAGGGGAUUGCGAGACAUUUAGGCAUCUGUUGCAAUUCCCUUGCAAAACCAUUUUUCCCAACAUAAAAAGAGAGAAAAAUAGCUUACAGAACUAGGGUUAGUAUAUAAAGACAUAAACCUAUUCCUUUUCAUUUGUUUGGCCGUAAAAGAGUUAGUAUACAAAACAUUUUAAAUCUUUGCUCUCCUCCCUCUUGGUCUCCUCUCUCUCUCUCUGUCUCCUGUGCCUCACUCUCUCACGCUUGCCUCUAUGCCUCUUCUCCGACCACACCGCCAAAUCUCUCUUCGCCGCCGGCUCUCCUCUCUUUCUCAGACCGCCGGAUCUCUUCUUACUUUCUUACGCCGCUUACCUCUCUCUCUCUCUUUCACGGCGAAUCCACAGAGCUCGUGCACGUCGUCCCACGACCAGUGACCACCACGGUGAAGCAUAGAGAACAGGCUUGAUGGUUGAGGGAAUAAGGGCAGCCGUUGUCGCAGGGGUGGUGGUUGUGCGGCGGUGGUGGUGCGGCGGAGGAGGCAAGGAGGCUAAAAGCAGAUGAGGCAAGGAGGCGGCUCAUAUUUUUAGGGUUAGAGAUUCUUUUAGAAUUAGGUUUAAUUUGUAAACCGGGUCUGUUUGUAAACCAGGUUUGUGUGUAAACCGGGUCUGACUGUAAACCAGGUCUGUGUGUUAACCAAUUCUGUGUGUAAUUAAACCAGUGAAUAAACCGAUAUCAUUUAUAUUUUUUUUA